UGGGGAAUAUUGCACAAUGGAGGGAACUCUGAUGCAGCGACGCCGCGUGAACGAAGAAGGCUUUCGAGUCGUAAAGUUCUUUUAUAUGGGAAGAUAAUGACGGUACCAUAAGAAAAAGCCCCGGCUAACUACGUGCCAGCAGCCGCGGUAAUACGUAGGGGGCUAGCGUUGUCCGGAAUCACUGGGCGGAAAGGGUUCGCAGGCGGAAAUGAAAGUCAGGUGUAAAAGGCAGUAGCUUAACUACUGUAAGCAUUUGAAACUGCAUAUCUUGAGAAGAGUAGAGGUAAGUGGAAUUUUUAGUGUAGCGGUGAAAUGCGUAGAUAUUAAAAAGAAUACCGGUGGCGAAGGCGACUUACUGGGCUCAUUCUGACGCUGAGGAACGAAAGCGUGGGUAGCAAACAGG
rnacentral:rRNA from 1 species